CCGACAAUUGUACAGUAUCUAUUAAAAAAGAUAAUGAAAAGAAUCACACUCAAGUCAUCACGAACCAUAUUAAACCUUGGUAAAUUUUUUGCAUGCAUUCCAAGCGAUGAAACAACACACUGGACAUACAGAAUGUUUUAUCCAAUGAUUAUGUUGAUAUUAAACGUUGCGGCUGCAGCUAUUUCGUUUUAUGGCCGAAUGAAACACAUGCAACAUAUUGAACAAACGUCCUACAGCUUAGCAUUAGCUUCGGAUGUCAUAUUAAUUUGCUGUACAGUGAUUCGGAUCGUUGUGAUUAACUAUCUCUGUAAUAAAGAAAAUAUUAUGAUGGAAGAUCAACUACGAAAUUUAGAAGCAACGCAGCUAAAACUAAAAACCGAGGAAGCGGAAAAUUCACGCCUCGAAAUUGUGAGCAUGCAUUUUGGUUUUGGAUUGUUUAUCGCAUGUAAUUUGACCAUAAUUCUCACCUCACUCUCCUGGUACACUUGGUAUUUCAUUAUACGAGAAUUCACACAUUAUCAAGUCCUGAUCUCUACUAGUGUGAUGAAAACGUACAUGAAAAUCAUACACAGCAAUUACCAAUAUAUUAACGAAGUACUGAACACUUUAAAGCCAACCAGUUUAUUUAUAAGCGAUAUGUCAAUGAACUCCAAUUACAAAUUUAAUAUUGAAUGGAUCUCCAAGCAAUACACGAAACUCUGGAUAACAAUUAGGCUUUUUAAUAAAGUUUAUGGAGUGUAUAUGGUUUGUAUUUAUAUUUACAUUACAAUCAAUUUAUUAGUGCCAUUCAACUUAGCUAUUGUUUAUGGGGGUGGAUAUAUUUUGGAAGACGGUAAACAGUUUGGGCCAUAUUUUGGCUUGAUGGCUAUUGUUUGGAGCGUUUUACCAGCGAUGAUUUUCCGUGAUAUAUUCCUCUCUGGAGAAAAUGUUUCAACUGAGAUUGAAAAAAUACCAGAAAAUUGUUAUCGAAUGAUGCUGCAAGUAGCUGAAUCAUAUCGAAAUGAUAUAAAGGAACUUGCGAUUGAAACUGCUUUAGUUAAACCAGUAUUUAGUGCAAACGGUUGGUUUGAAAUCAAUUACAAAAUGAUAUUGCCUACAAUUACAAUGAUUAUUUCAUAUAUCAUUGUCAUAAUUCAAUAUCAUGGCUAAUGUACUAUUUAUUUGUAUUGUUGCGUGUUAGAAUUUCAUGGUGUUGUUGAGUUAAACAACAUGUUUCGCCUCGUGGGCAUCGUCGGUUUUUUUUUGUGAAAUUUUAAAGAAAAUAUGUGAUUGUAUGACAAAUACAUACUUAAAUUUA